UACCAGCUCUCCGAGUGGUAGGGAUGAUUAUUGGGCUUAAAGCGUCCGUAGCCGGCUUAGCAAGUCUCCUGUUAAAUUCAGCGACCUAAUCGUUGAGCCGCGGGAGAUACUACUAGGCUAGGAGGCGGGAGAGGUCAACGGUACUUCCGGGGUAGGGGUGAAAUCCUAUAAUCCCGGGAGGACCACCAGUGGCGAAGGCUGUUGACUAGAACGCGCUCGACGGUGAGGGACGAAAGCUGGGGGAGCGAACCGGAUUAGGAUACCCGGGUAGUCCCAGCUGUAAACGAUGCGAGCUAGGUGUUGGGGUGGCUACGUGCCACUUCAGUGCCGCAGGGAAGCCAUUAAGCUCGCCGCCUGGGGAGUACGGCCGCAAGGCUGAAACUUAAAGGAAUUGGCGGGGGAGCGACCACAAGGCGUGAAGCUUGCGGUUC
rnacentral:rRNA from 1 species